GGGGGGGGGGGGGGGGGGGGGGAUGGGGGGGAGGGGGGCGGGCAGACGGGGGGCUUGGGCCUCUGGCGGUGGCGGCGGACGGGGGGGUGCCACGUGGGUAACCUACCUCUAAGGCUGGGAUAACUUCGGGAAACCGGAGCUAAUACCGGAUAGUAUCUUGAACCGCAUGUUUCAAUAGUGAAAGACGGUUUUGCUGUCACUUAUAGAUGGAUCCGCGCCGCAUUAGCUAGUUGGUAAGGUAACGGCUUACCAAGGCAACGAUGCGUAGCCGACCUGAGAGGGUGAUCGGCCACACUGGAACUGAGACACGGUCCAGACUCCUACGGGAGGCAGCAGUAGGGAAUCUUCCGCAAUGGGCGAAAGCCUGACGGAGCAACGCCGCGUGAGUGAUGAAGGUCUUCGGAUCGUAAAACUCUGUUAUUAGGGAAGAACAAAUGUGUAAGUAACUAUGCACGUCUUGACGGUACCUAAUCAGAAAGCCACGGCUAACUACGUG
rnacentral:rRNA from 1 species